rnacentral:rRNA from 1 species
UACGUAGGGGGCAAGCGUUGUCCGGAAUUAUUGGGCGUAAAGCGCGCGCAGGCGGUCCUUUAAGUCUGAUGUGAAAGCCCACGGCUCAACCGUGGAGGGUCAUUGGAAACUGGGGGACUUGAGUGCAGGAGAGAAGAGUGGAAUUCCACGUGUAGCGGUGAAAUGCGUAGAGAUGUGGAGGAACACCAGUGGCGAAGGCGACUAACUGGUCCAGUACUGACGCUGAGGUGCGAAAGCGUGGGGAGCAAACAGG